UAACUAGGAUUCCCUUAGUAACGGCGAGUGAACAGGGAAAAGCCCAGCACCGAAUCUCCCGUCCCAUGAUGUGGGCGAGGCGAAAUGUGGUGUUUGAGAGGAAGUCACUUCCAACUGCGGCAAGCCUAAGUCCCCCUGACUGGGGCCACAACCCAUGGCGGGUGCAAGGCCCAUUUGGCUGAUUCCGCAGCUUGCGAGGCUCGACUUUUAUUUCACCUCUCUAGAGUCGGGUUGCUUGAGAGUGCAGCCCAAAGUUGGUGGUAAACUCCAUCUAAGGCUAAAUACUUCCACGAGACCGAUAGUAAACAAGUACCAUGAGGGAAAAUUGCAAAGAACUUUGAAGAGAGAGUUCAAGAGUACGUGAAACCGCUUGGAGGUAAACGGGUGGGCCCUCGAAGGUCGAAAGGAGGGAUUCAACCCGUCGCUCGAUUUUUUGGCCAGCUGGUUUUUUCUAUUCUCCAUGCAGAUCACUGUCGGUGACUAGCGUUUAAACGUACCCUGAAAAAUCGGGACGGCCGACGGGUGUGGAGACGAGUGGCGGGCGCACUUCCCUCUCAGUAGGACGCCGCGACCGGUCGGGUCACAAACAGAAUUGCAGCCAUGAGGCACGAUAUUUGGGCAGGUAUCCGUUGCCGGUUUUCGCCACCCAUUCAAUACUCUUGCUUUGGGAUCUAAGGCGUCCGGUCGGAGUUACAGCCUUUCGUGACCGGUCAUUUGCUCUGCAACCCGACCGCACAAAAGAACUGUCCAUGGCGUAUUAUACAUAGCGCGCACCUUGGCAUUAGAAGGCAGGGGGUAGUUUUGUAAAGAUUUCUGUAACGUCGAGAAACUCGACGGUCAGAGAUUCUACCCUCGCUCUCUCUGGUGCCUGCUCUCUGGUGCUCAUGAGACAUCAAGUNNNNNNNNNNNNNNNNNNNNNNNNNNNNNNAUGAAAGUGAAGGCACGUUCUUCUCGAACGGCCGAGGCAGGAUCCUUUUAUGAAUCCGGUUUAAAAAAUUACAACCAGCUGAUUAAAUGGCUUAGCGGUGAGUGGCAUUCGUUCCCCAUCGAUUUUCUCUCUCUCGUUUCGGCGAGCUGAGGGUUUUGGUGGUUUGGUGGCGGUGUUGCGUUUGGAACCGCGGCUCCGGAAAUUAACCAAAUCGGUAUAAUCACUAGAACGCUCCCUCCAAAAUUAUGAAUGGGCGCUCGCCGUGUCCCCUUUGCUGGGGUAAAGGUGAUGUUUCGCUCGGAGGGUAAGGUGUUAAAGGCACAAAUGCGUUUCUAUAUAUUAUAGCAUCCGAUAUUUUUUGGAGGCGCACUGCCGGCCCGUUUUGACCGCCCUCGGUGACUAUCUUUGCGCGUGCAAGCGUUUGCUUUGAAAAAUCUCGAUAGUCGGUGAAGCGGAGCAAGAGCACACACGUUGGUACCCGAAAGAUGGUGAACUAUGCCCGGGCAGGACGAAGCCAGAGGAAACUCUGGUGGAGGUCCGUAGCGAUUCUGACGUGCAAAUCGAUCGUCGGACCUGGGUAUAGGGGCGAAAGACUAAUCGAACCAUCUAGUAGCUGGUUCCCUCCGAAGUUUCCCUCAGGAUAGCUGGUGCUCGAAUUAUAUAAAAGUUUCAUCCGGUAAAGCGAAUGAUUAGAGGCCUUGGGGUCGAAACGACCUCAACCUAUUCUCAAACUUUCAAUGGGUGAGAAGUCUGGCUUGCUUAAAUAUAUUACUGCAAUUGUCAUGAUUUUUACCGAUUCAAAACUCGAAUGCCUUUAGAGUGGAAUCGGUACAGACUCUUGCAUUUGAAGCACAGACAUUGAAUGCGAGUGCCCAGUGGGCCACUUUUGGUAAGCAGAACUGGCGCUGUGGGAUGAACCAAACGUUGGGUUACGGUGCCUAAUGCAGACGCUAAUCAGAGCCCAUGAAAGGUGUUGGUUGCUAUUGACAGCAGGACGGUGGCCAUGGAAGUCGGAAUCCGCUAAGGAGUGUGUAACAACUCACCUGCCGAAGCAACUAGCCCUGAAAAUGGAUGGCGCUCAAGCGUCGAACCUAAACCCAACCGCCAGUAAGCAAAGAAAUAUAUUUUUACAUAUAUUGUCAAUGCUCUGGCGAGUAGGAGGGUCGUAAUGGUAUACGCCGAAGGCUAGGACGCAAGUCCGGCUGGAGUUGCCAUUAGCGCAGAUCUUGGUUGAAGUAGUAGAUAGUCGAGUGAGAACCUUGACGGCUGAAGUGGAGAAGGGUUCCAUGUGAACAGCAGUUGAACAUGGGUCAGUCGGUCCUAAGGAAUAGGGGAAACCCGUUCCAAAUGUUUGGGAAGUAUAUAUUACAUACAUUUCUCUCCCGACUAAACCGAAAGGGAAUCGGGUUAAUAUUCCCGAACCAGGCUGUGGAGAAAUUUUUUCUCUUUAUCAAAUGAGAGGAUCGAAGCGGUAACGCAAAAACAAACUCGGAAACGUCGGCGAUUGUCCCGGAGAGAGUUUUCUUUUCUUUUUAAGGGGCCAAUUCCAUGGAAUCGGUUCGACCGGAGAUAUGGAUUGCGUUUCCCGUAAAGCACCGCGGCUCUUGCGGUGUCCGGUGAACUGUCGGCGGCCCUUGAAAAUCCGAGCGAGAGAUCUUGAUAAUUUCCACACCUGGCCGUACCCA
rnacentral:rRNA from 1 species